AUCCCCAAUUUUCUUAGUCAAUUUAUGCUCUUACAACAAAAUAACACAGCCUAUGCAAUUUAUGAAAACCAGACAUUUAUUCCUCACAGUUUUGGAGACUAGGAGGUCCAAGAUCAAGGUGCUGGCAGGUCCGAUGUCUGGUAAGGGCUGUUCUCUCCUUUCAGGAUGGUGUCUUGGUGCUGCAUCCUCCAAAGUCAAGGAACACUGUGUCCUCACAUGGUGGAAGGCGGGAGGGCAAGAGGAAUGAAGCCGUUUCAUGAGGGCUCCUAAACCCACUCCUGAGCUUUGAAAAUGGACUUAACUACCUCAAACCAAUGGGACAUAGUCCCCUGUUACGGUUCCCAGGCUCUUUGUCCUGGGCAGAGCUUGUUGCACCUUCCAGUUCCAGUAAUCAAGGAAGCGGAGUCCCUGCAAUUCUUCAAGGAACCUUGAGAACUCAGGAGGUCCUGGGGUGGCUGCAUCAAUCCUGCAGACCAAUGCCAAUCAGCAGAGGGGCCAUUCCCAGGGCCACAUGGCUGGCUGAGUUGGGCCUUGGCCAGGCACAUGCAUACGCUUACACACACAGAGAGGGUGAAGAACGGCUACUUAGCAAGUUCGAGACAGGCAAAAAGUAAAAUUUUAUAUGUAUAAGAUCAAACUAUGCAUCAUCUUAAAAAGAUUAAAAUGUAUUAUGUUAACAAUUUGUACCUAAAAAAUUAAGCCUUAUGCAAGGUGUCAGCUAUUGAAAUGAAAGCAUCAGGUGACCUCAGCUUUUUAUGUUGUGGACUUAGCCACACGCUGUGCCCAGCUCUGUUCCAGUUCUUUCCUCUUGCCUUUGGCUCCUACCACUCCGUCGUAGGCUUGACUUCUAGAAGAAACACAGCUAACCUGCCAGGGCUUUAGACCUGAUCUGCCUUUCUUAGGGAGAGAGAGAUGGAAAGAAAGAGAUGGCUUCUUCUUUGCAGAAACACAUCAGCUGCCUUCUUCUCAAUUUCCCUGGACAAUAUUUAUGUUCAUUCUCCCACCAGUGAGCAGGUAGGUGCCUGAAUGGGUAGCCCAUUCUCACGGGUAGCCCAUUCUUACUAAAAUAAAAUGUUGAACUCCUUACGUAAAACAUUUUGAAUAAAAACAGUUGAUCAAAAGGAAUAAAAAACAUUUUUGAGUGAAAACAAUUGCUCAAAAAGAACAAAAUGUGCAGCUUUUCAAAUUCUACAGACCAGGUGAAUUUAGUAGAGAAUGAACAAAGUAGUUUACAAUAUAAAGAUUUCUGAAUUCAGUGGUGUGUGUGUUCACUGCCCCGAAGAAAUGAAAACAGAAAACAUUGAGAACCAGUUAACGGGACAAUCAGCAGAGAGUCUCUGUUUCCUUUUCACCUGCUACUUGGUCUUCAUAAGACUGUCUCAGUUCCACCAUCCUGGUCUGAAAGCCACUUUGUUGCACAUGGCAGUGCGUUGACAUCAGCAAGAGCCAGUCUUUGCAGAUCUUUGCUCUGCAAAUUACUGCCAAGUGUGACUGGGUAUAGCCCUUAAGCACUGCACCCCAAUUCCCCAGUCUGCAAUAUGGAAAUAAUAAAAUCUAACUCUGAGACAUAAUUCAAAUUAUGAAAAGGUACAUUACAGUAGGUUAUAAACAAAGGUUCGUUCUCUUUCCUGCCUUUUAUCAUCUAAUCUAGUUUCUUUGGAGGAGAGAGGGAGCUUGUGUGUUUCAAAUAUGUAACUUAUAAAUAAUAUGCUACUGAAUUAAAGACUGGGUCUAAAAUUUUGUUUCUAAAUUGAUGAUUUUGAUCCACAUAUUUUGUAUGAUUUCUUUCAGAGUUGGAUUUAUUGUCAUCAUCUAGUUUUGUGCUU
ensembl:lncRNA